rnacentral:tRNA from 1 species
GGGGAUGUGGCUCAGUGGUGGAGCGUGUGCUUUGCAUGCGUGAAGCCCCGGGUUUGAUCCCCCGCAUCUCCA